rnacentral:ribozyme from 1 species
CGAGGAUGGUCGCGAUGGCGGAGAUGCCUGUAAUGAUCGCGCCGAUAAGCUGAAUUACGGCGAUGGUCAGCACACCACCACGUAGGCCGCAGCACUGCGGAACGCAGCAGCAGCACGAAGAGGUUGGCUUCUGCGGGACAAGGAAAAUGAGGCACAGCAAAGGAGGGAUGCUCAAAUAUUUCAGAUGAAACGACGUUACUCGCGUGGGCAAAACAAAUUUUGGAUGAUGAAU